AGUCGAGCGGUACAUUUCUAGCUUGCUAGAAUAUGACGAGCGGCGGACGGGUGAGUAAUGCUUGGGAAUAUGCCUUUUGGUGGGGGACAACACUUGGAAACGACUGCUAAUACCGCAUGAUGUCUACAGACCAAAGUGGGGGACCUUUUGGCCUCUCGCCCAAAGAUUAUCCCAAGUGGGAUUAUCUCUUUGGUAAGGUAAUGGGUUACCACGGCGACAAUCCCUAUCUGGGUUGAGAGGAUGAUCACCCCCACUGGGACUGAGACACGGCCCCCACUCCUACGGGAGGCGGCACUGGGGAAUAUUGCGCAAUGUGCGCAAGCCUGAUACACCCCUGCCGCGUGUGUGAAAAAAGCCUUCUGGUUGUAUAGCACUUUCUCUAAAGAGGAAAGGUUAAAAGUUAAUAUCACUUAUCUGUGACGUUACUUACAGAAAAAACACCGGCUAUAUCCGUGUCACCAGCCGCGCUAAUACAGAGAGUGCGAGCGUUAAUCUCAAUUACUGGGCGUAAAGCGUACACACGCGGUUUGUUAAACGAGAUAUGAAAGCCCCGGGCUCAACCUGUGAACUGUAUUUCUAACUGUGAAACUAUAGUGUGAUAUAGAGUGUUAUAAUUUCACGUGUAGCGCUGAAAUGCGUAUAGAUCUCAAAGAAUACCCAUGGCGAAAGCACCCACCUGUGUCAACACUGAGGCUCAUAUACAAAAGCGUGUGGAGCAAACAGGAUUAUAUACCCUGGUAGUCUACACCCCAAACGAUGUCUACUANAAGCUCGCGUCCUCGGAAAUGUUUUUCUAAGCUAA
rnacentral:rRNA from 1 species